rnacentral:rRNA from 1 species
GAUGAACGCUGGCGGCGUGCCUAAUACAUGCAAGUCGAGCGAACGGACGAGAAGCUUGCUUCUCUGAUGUUAGCGGCGGACGGGUGAGUAACACGUGGAUAACCUACCUAUAAGACUGGGAUAACUUCGGGAAACCGUAGCUAAUACCGGAUAAUAUUUUGAACCGCAUGGUUCAAAAGUGAAAGACGGUCUUGCUGUCACUUAUAGAUGGAUCCGCGCUGCAUUAGCUAGUUGGUAAGGUAACGGCUUACCAAGGCAACGAUGCAUAGCCGACCUGAGAGGGUGAUCGGCCACACUGGAACUGAGACACGGUCCAGACUCCUACGGGAAGCAGCAGUAGGGAAUCUUCCGCAAUGGGCGAAAGCCUGACGGAGCAACGCCGCGUGAGUGAUGAAGGUCUUCGGAUCGUAAAACUCUGUUAUUAGGGAAGAACAUAUGUGUAAGUAACUGUGCACAUCUUGACGGUACCUAAUCAGAAAGCCACGGCUAACUACGU